rnacentral:ncRNA from 12 species
GACAGCAAAGGUCGGAAAGGCUCCCGACGCACUCGCAAAGACUACCUGAGGUGAUGGAUACGCCGCCCAUCUUGCUGUU